rfam:Monoraphidium neglectum strain SAG 48.87 unplaced genomic scaffold scaffold00597, whole genome shotgun sequence.
GUCCUUGUAGCUCAGUUGGUUAGAGCGCGGCACUUAUGAUGCCGAAGUCGCGGGAUCGAGACCCGCCUGGGACA